ACAAAGCGAUUUCGGCCCGACCCGGGAAUCGAACCCGAGACCUCGAGCACAGCAGCCGCGCUUGCGACCACUAGACGAACGAGGCAGUCAGAUUCAGGAAAGAAGACAAGAUGUUUGUAAGAAAGACAUGGAAAUCUGCGAACUAAAAGAGGAAGAUGUCCAGGAUAGAGCGAAGUGGAAGAAGAAGAUACGGAAAGCGGACACCGUCACAAGGCGGGAUAAACGCUAAGAAGAAGAAGUUCAGUACUUUCAGAGCCUAAUUCUUUUACUCUUUAUUUUAAUGGUAUAGAAGUAAAGAUUUCUAAAAAGGAA